rnacentral:rRNA from 1 species
CCUAUGCUCUGGAAUAACCUCGGGAAACUGAGAUCAUACCGGAUAGAUCACAACGCCUGGAACGGUGUGUGGUUGAAAGAUUACGGCAUAGGAUGGGUCUGCGGCGUAUCAGGUUGUAGGGGGUGUAACGGACCUCCUAGCCAUCGACGCGUACGGGUGUUGGGAGACAUAGCCCGGAGAUGGAUUCUGAGACACGAAUCCAGACCCUACGGGGUGCAGCAGGCGCGAAAACUUCACACUGCAGGAAACUGUGAUGAGGGAACUCCAAGUGCGCGCACUUAGUGUGCGCUUUUGUUGACUAUUAAUCGGUCAAUGAAUAAGGGCUGGGAAAGACCGGUGCCAGCCGCCGCGGUAAUACCGGCAGCUCAAGUGGUCGUCGCUUUUAUUGGGCCUAAAACGUCCGUAGCCUGUUUGGUAAAUCUGUGGGUAAAUCAACCAGCUUAACUGGUUGAAUUCUGCAGAGACUGCCAGACUAGGGACCGGGAGAGGUGUGGGGUACUCUAGGGGUAGGGGUAAAAUCCUGUCAUCCUUAGAGGACCACCAGUUGCGAAGGCGCCACACUGGAACGGAUU